GUUUGGGCCAGGAUAAAGGUGAUUUUCAGUCUUGUACUUUUGCUUUCAACUACUUACAAGAGACUUAGCUGAAAGCAAAAGUACAAGACAGAAAAUCACCUUUAUCCUGGCCCAAAC
rnacentral:pre_miRNA from 1 species